rnacentral:lncRNA from 1 species
GCUCCUCCUCGCAACCGUAGCCGCCACCGUGCUGCUGCUCGCGGCCGGCGCGACGGCGCAGCAGCAGGGCUGCGAGAACGCGACGUUCCCGGCGGGGCGGUCGUUCGCGCGGUGCAACACCCUGCCCGUGCUCGACGCCAGCCUGCACUGGACGUACCACGCCGCGAACGGCACCGCCGAGCUCGCGUUCCGCGCGNCGGUCGUUCGCGCGGUGCAACACCCUGCCCGUGCUCGACGCCAGCCUGCACUGGACGUACCACGCCGCGAACGGCACCGCCGAGCUCGCGUUCCGCGCGCGUUCCAGCGCCACCGGCUGGGUCGCCUGGGGCAUCAACCCCGGCGGCGCCGGCAUGGCCGGCAGCAACGUCUUCCUCGCCUCGC